rnacentral:rRNA from 1 species
UACGAAGGGUGCAAGCGUUACUCGGAAUUACUGGGCGUAAAGCGUGCGUAGGCGGUUUGUUAAGUCUGAUGUGAAAGCCCUGGGCUCAACCUGGGAACUGCAUUGGAAACUGGCUUACUAGAGUGCGGUAGAGGGGUGUGGAAUUCCCGGUGUAGCAGUGAAAUGCGUAGAUAUCGGGAGGAACAUCUGUGGCGAAGGCGACACCCUGGACCAGCACUGACACUGAGGCACGAAAGCGUGGGGAGCAAACAGG